rnacentral:rRNA from 1 species
AACGAACGCUGGCAGCAGGCUUAACACAUGCAAGUCGAACGCCCCGCAAGGGGAGUGGCAGACGGGUGAGUAACGCGUGGGAAUCUACCCAGUUCUACGGAAUAACACAGGGAAACUUGUGCUAAUACCGUAUAAGCCCUACGGGGGAAAGAUUUAUCGGGACUGGAUGAGCCCGCGUUGGAUUAAGCUAGUUGGUGGGGUAAAUGGCCUACCAAGGCGACGAUCCAUAGCUGGUCUGAGAGGAUGAUCAGCCACACUGGACUGAGACACGGCCCAGACUCCUACGGGAGGCAGCAGUGGGGAAUAUUGGACAAUGGGCGAAAGCCUGAUCCAGCCAUGCCGCGUGAGUGAU